UUACAGUCAAAUCACGCUGAAAACACCGGUUCUCGUUGGAUCACCGAAGUUAAGCAUCGUAGAGCCAGGUCAGUACUUAGAUGGGGGACCGCUUGGGAACACCUGGUACUGUAAG
rnacentral:rRNA from 1 species